AUAGAUGUAGUGAGAAGAGGGGAAGAGCCCACAGCUAGGACAGAGGAAACCAGGCAAGCCAGAAGCCUGGGUGAUAGACUCCAGGAUGGAAUGACCACCUCUAGAGAGCAAGACCUGGAGGUCCCACUGGGUAGGAAAUGCCUUUUUUCUGGACUUUUAAAGCUUCCUAACUAUUCCAUGAAGGAUCCCAACUUAACUUCUCUUAUCUUAACAGCUUUAUGGAGAUAUAUGCCAUAUUAAUAUCAUUAUUAUGUUUAACUUGAUCUUUGCAUAGGCAAGAGAAACAGUUCUGUCUGUCUGUCUGCCUACCUUCCUGCCUAUCUAUCUAUCUAUCUAUCUAUCUAUCUAUCUAUCUAUUUACCUAUCUAUCUAUCUAUCAUCUAUUUAUAAUUGAUCUGUUAUCUGUCUAUGAUCUAUUUAUUAUCUAUUUACAAUCUAUCAUCUAUUAUCUAUUUUAAGUAUGCAUGAAUAUUAUGAUAUUCAUAUAUAUAUUCAUAUAUGAUAAUAUAUAUGUAUAUGUAUAUAUAUAUAUAGCCUAUAAAUAUAUGUGCUCAGAGUGUGUACCUGUAUAGUGUGGAGGCCAGAGAAGGGCAUCAUAUGUCCUUAUUUCCCACCAUAGCCCUUUGAGACUGAAGCUUGUGUCCAUAACAUUGGGUUACAUUGCUAGGCUUUUACUUGGAUCCUAGGGAUCCAAACUCAGGUCUUUAGGCUUGCGCACAAGACUCUCUUACCUGCUGAGAUAUCUUCCCAGCCUGAAUAAAAUCUGAAGAAAUGAAUGUUUCCUGAAGAAUUCUCUCAUAAUUUUUUCCAGGUAUAUUUGUGGCAUGAGAGGUAAAUGUUUACAUAAAAUUAAAUUCCAAGAGAUUUGUGUUAUCUGAAUAUAAAAAUGCUGAAUUAAUUAAACUUAAUUAUUAAGUAAUACUUAAUUUACUAUUUAGUAUAUACUUAGAACAAGAUAAGUGCUCAGGAAAUAUGUAUUGGAUAAAUGCCAAGUUUAAAUAACUUAGUUGUUUUGGAGCCAGACAAUAGUAACUCAAACCUUUAAUUCCAGCAUUCACGAGGCAGAGGUGGAUCUCUGAGUUCCAGGACAUCCAAGGCUACACAGAGAAAUCCUGUCUUAAG
rnacentral:lncRNA from 1 species